UACGAAGGGGGCUAGCGUUGCUCGGAAUCACUGGGCGUAAAGGGUGCGUAGGCGGGUCUUUAAGUCAGGGGUGAAAUCCUGGAGCUCAACUCCGGAACUGCCAUUGAAACUGUAAGACUUGAGGAUGAGAGAGGUGAGUGGAAUUCCCAGUGUAGAGGUGAAAUUCGUAGAUAUUGGGAAGAACACCGGUGGCGAAGGCGGCUCACUGGCUCAUUUCUGACGCUCAGGCGCGACAGCGUGGGGAUCAAACAGG
rnacentral:rRNA from 1 species